GCGCUUUGAUGCAACGAGACCGCGGGCUCUGGCGCGUCUGAGCGUCUGAUGGUAUUUGGGGCUCCGAGGAGCAUCUAGGCUUCAUCACCAACAACAGCAGCGAGAUCCGCGAGGCGUAUGGCUUGGACCUGCAUCAGCGCCUGGGCUUCGGCCGCCCUGAGGACCUGGCACUGGCGGCGAGGUCCCUGGCCAGAUCUGUUGCAUUGCGCUCCAUCUGCGCCAGUGCCAGGCAGGCGCGCGGGGCCGCAGGUGUACGUGCUGGACGCCUCGGGUGUGGAGCCCAAGCCGAUGCCGAGUGAACCGCCCUGGCGCCUAACUGCACAAGGCUCCAGAGCUCAAGGUGGGUGCUGUUGAGAUGCCCUUUGGCCCUCAACUUCAGUUCCAUGAAACUCUUCAAGGCUCCGCUACCUGUAGUUGUGCUACCUGUAGCUGCGCUACCUGUAGCUGCCUGCUCAUGGGCACCAACGUGGAUGACCGGUUCCCACUCGAGAACUGGAUGCUUCAUCGUGGGUAUCGGCUGGGCUGACUGGUUCGAGCCAUGGGGAUGCAGCGUCCUGCUAAGCUGACAUCUUAGGAAGCCCAGUCGCUCCGUCUUCCACUGCGUGUCGCAGGAGUAUCGUGUCCACUUGGAGCGCACCUUCAUGGGGGCCCAGGCUCGAUCCCUGGUCAGGGAACUAGAUCCCACACACUGCAACCGAAGAACCCGUGUGUUGAAACUAAGCCAAAU
ensembl:lncRNA